GAUGAACGCUGGCGGCGUGCCUAACACAUGCAAGUCGAGCGAACAGACGAGGAGCUUGCUCCUCUGACGUUAGCGGCGGACGGGUGAGUAACACGUGGAUAACCUACCUAUAAGACUGGUAUAACUUCGGGAAACCGGAGCUAAUACCGGAUAAUAUAUUGAACCGCAUGGUUCAAUAGUGAAAGACGGUUUUGCUGUCACUUAUAGAUGGAUCCGCGCGGCAUUGGCUAGUUGGUAGGGUAACGGCUUACCAAGGCAACGAUGCGUAGCCGACGUGAGAGGGUGAUCGGCCGCACUAGAACUGAGCCGCGGUCCAGACUCCUACGGGAGGCAGCAGUAGGGAAUCUUCCGCAAUGGGCGAAAGCCUGACGGAGCAGCGCCGCGUGAGUGAUGAAGGUCUUCGGAUCGUGAAACUCUGUUAUUAGGGAAGAACAAAUGUGUAAGUAACUAUGCACGUCUUGACGGUAACUAAUCAGGAAGCCACGGCUAACUACGUG
rnacentral:rRNA from 1 species